rnacentral:hammerhead_ribozyme from 1 species
UGCUGAUGAGACCAAACCAGGUCGAAACAGCUGUCCA